rnacentral:rRNA from 1 species
AUGAACGCUAGCUACAGGCUUAACACAUGCAAGUCGAGGGGAAACGACAUUGAAGCUUGCUUCGAUGGUCGUCGACCGGCGCACGGGUGAGUAACGCGUAUCCAACCUGCCUCUGACCAAGGGAUAACCCGUCGAAAGUCGGCCUAAUACCUUAUGCAGUCGUCGGAAGUCAUCUGAUGACGACGAAAGAUUUCAUCGGUGAGAGAUGGGGAUGCGUCUGAUUAGCUUGCUGGCGGGGUAACGGCCCACCAAGGCAACGAUCAGUAGGGGUUCUGAGAGGAAGGUCCCCCACAUUGGAACUGAGACACGGUCCAAACUCCUACGGGAGGCAGCAGUGAGGAAUAUUGGUCAAUGGGCGAGAGCCUGAACCAGCCAAGUAGCGUGCAGGAUGACGGCCCUAUGGGUUGUAAACUGCUUUUAUGCGGGGAUAAAGUGAGGGACGUGUCCUUCAUUGCAGGUACCGCAUGAAUAAGGACCGGCUAAUUCCGUG